rnacentral:rRNA from 1 species
AGAGUUUGAUCCUGGCUCAGGACGAACGCUGGCGGUGUGCUUCACACAUGCAAGUCGAGCGAAUGAAGUAGGUAGCUUGCUACUUAUGGAUUUAGCGGCGGACGGGUGAGUAAUAUAUAGGAAUCUGCCUUAGAGCGGGGAACAACAGACCGAAAGGUUUGCUAAUGCCCCAUAGGUAUGCAGUCUUCGGAUUGUAUAUUAAAGGAGUAAUCCACUCUAAGAUGAGCCUGUAUCCGAUUAGCUAGUUGGCGGGGUAAAGGCCCACCAAGGCUACGAUCGGUAGUUGGUCUGAGAGGAUGAUCAGCCACAAUGGGACUGAGACACGGCCCAUACUCCUACGGGAGGCAGCAGUGGGGAAUUUUACACAAUGGGGGAAACCCUGAUGUAGCGACACUGCGUGAACGAAGAAGCCUUUUGGGGUGUAAAGUUCUGUCGGCUGGAACGAAAAAAAUGACGGUACCAGCAAAGGAAGCAUCGGCUAACUACGUGCCAGCAGCCGCGGUAAGACGUAGGAUGCAAGCGUUGUCCGGAUUUAUUGGGCGUAAAGAGUUCGUAGGCGGUUAUUUAAGUCUGAUGUUAAAUACUGUGGCCCAACCACAGAACUGCAUUGGACACUGGAUGGCUUGAGUGCGGUAGAGGCAAGUGGAAUUCCCAGUGUAGCGGUGAAAUGCGUAGA